AUUGAACGCUGGCGGCAUGCCUUACACAUGCAAGUCGGACGGUUCCUGCACCUUCAAGCUUGCUUGCUGGUGCAAGGAUAGUGGCGGACGGGUGAGUAACGCGUGAACAUCUACCCAUUGGAGGGGGACAACCCGUCGAAAGGCGGGCUAAUACCGCGUAAGCCGCGAGGUGAGAGGCUGCCUAUUGGUGGCCGCCGAUGGAUGGGUUCGCGUCCUAUCAGCUGGUUGGUGGGGUAACGGCCUACCAAGGCGAAGACGGGUAGCCGGUCUGAGAGGAUGGCCGGCCACACUGGAACUGAGACACGGUCCAGACUCCUACGGGAGGCAGCAGUGGGGAAUAUUGGGCAAUGGGGGUAACCCUGACCCAGCGACGCCGCGUGAGGGACGAAGGUUUUCGGAUCGUAAACCUCUGUUGUACGGGAAGAAGGAAUUGACGGUACCGUACGAGAAAGCCCCGGCAAACUACGUG
rnacentral:rRNA from 1 species